CGCCUCUUGAAAUAAUAAUAUAAGAGGUAUCGCCUGCCCAGUGACAAUCGUUCAACGGCCGCGGUAUUAUGACCGUGCAAAGGUAGCGUAAUCACUUGUCUAUUAAAUAUAGACCAGUAUGAAUGGCAAAACGAGGGCUCAACUGUCUCUUUAAAUUAAUCAGUGAAAUUGAUCUUUCCGUGCAGAAGCGGAAAUAUAAUUAUAAGACGAGAAGACCCUAUGGAGCUUUAAACCUAAACUAAUUAUAUUUUAAAUAAAUAUAAUUAUAAUCUAGCACCCGGUUUUAGGUUGGGGCGACCACGGGACAAAACUAAACUCCCGAGAUGAAAAAAUUAAGAAAUACAUUUCAAAAUAAUAAUAUUAUUAACAUAAUUGAUCCUUAUUUGAUCAACGAACUAAGUUACCCUAGGGAUAACAGCGCAAUCCUUUCAGAAAGUCCUUAUCGACGAAAGGGUUUACGACCUCGAUGUUGGAUCAGGACAUCCAAAUGGUGUAGCAGCUAUUAAAGGUUCGUUUGUUCAACGAUUAAAGUCCU
rnacentral:rRNA from 1 species